rnacentral:rRNA from 1 species
GAUGAACGCUGGCGGCGUGCCUAAUACAUGCAAGUCGAGCGAACAGACGAGGAGCUUGCUCCUCUGACGUUAGCGGCGGACGGGUGAGUAACAAGUGGAUAACCUACCUAUAAGACUGGGAUAACUUCGGGAAACCGGAGCUAAUACCGGAUAAUAUAUUGAACCGCAUGGUUCAAUAGUGAAAGACGGUUUUGCUGUCACUUAUAGAUGGAUCCGCGCCGCAUUAGCUAGUUGGUAAGGUAACGGCUUACCAAGGCAACGAUGCGUAGCCGACCUGAGAGGGUGAUCGGCCACACUGGAACUGAGACACGGUCCAGACUCCUACGGGAGGCAGCAGUAGGGAAUCUUCCGCGAUGGGCGAAAGCCUGACGGAGCAACGCCGCGUGAGUGAUGAAGGUCUUCGGAUCGUAAAACUCUGUUAUUAGGGAAGAACAAAUGUGUAAGUAACUAUGCACGUCUUGACGGUACCUAAUCAGAAAGCCACGGCUAACUACGUG